rnacentral:pre_miRNA from 1 species
AAUGUACUCCCUCCGUUCGGAAUUACUUGUCACAAAAAUGGAUGUAUCUACAACUAAAAUACAUCUAGAUACAUCCAUUUCCGUGACAAGUAAUUCCGAACGGAGGGAGUAGAUA